rnacentral:rRNA from 1 species
CCUACGGGUGGCAGCAGUGGGGAAUAUUGCACAAUGGGCGAAAGCCUGAUGCAGCAACGCCGCGUGAGCGAUGAAGGCCUUCGGGUCGUAAAGCUCUGUCCUCAAGGAAGAUAAUGACGGUACGUGAGGAGGAAGCCCCGGCUAACUACGUGGCAGCAGCCGCGGUAAUACGUAGGGGGCUAGCGUUAUCCGGAAUUACGGGGCGAAAAGGGGGCGUAGGUGGUUUCUUAAGUCAGAGGUGAAAGGCUACGGCUCAACCGUAGUAAGCCUUUGAAACUGGGGAACUUGAGUGCAGGAGAGGAGAGUGGAAUUCCUAGUGUAGCGGUGAAAUGCGUAGAUAUUAGGAGGAACCCCAGUUGCGAAGGCAGCUUUCUGGAGUGUAACUGACACUGAGGCUCGAAAGCGUGGGGAGCGAACAGGAUUAGAUACCCGGGUAGUC